AAGGAAAGGGAAAGGAAGAGAAAAGGGAUUUAUAGAAAAAGGGAAUAGGGUAUUUCAUUUUUAUUCAAAAAAUUUUAGGGUUUGUUAUAUUUGUUCAAAUUAGGGAUUUCCAAAAUUUUGAUCAUAUUGUUUCCAAUUGGUUUGAAUAGGUGAAGAAGAAGGGAGAUUUGCAAGAGAUUUCAACUCUGAUUUAGAGGCUACCCAAAUCAGUACGACAGAUUUAAAUGCUCUGCCUGUGAGAUAUCUAUACAGGUACGACAGAAUUUAGUGCUCUGCUUGUGCUUUAUUUCAUGCCAAGUAUGACAGAAUCGAAUGCUCUGCCCGUGUGAGAUUUUAGUAUACCGGGACAUCCUACAGAUCGUACGGGAUAGUGUUUUGUUGGGUUGUGCCACGGUGUAGCAUCUUUCGUGGAUGUUUUCAUUUGCACGCAUCUAUAUAGACUUUUUGUUGUUUUUUUUUAUAAACUUAUGAAAUGUUGAAAGGCCGGAGGCCUAAUUACCAUCGUCUCAUAAUCUUUUGAAAUGAGUAAAGAUGUAAAUUAUUUUGUUAUGUAUGUGAUAAGGCCGGAGGCCUGAUUUCAGGUUUA